CUACGGGGGGCAGCAGUGGGGAAUUUUGGACAAUGGGCGCAAGCCUGAUCCAGCCAUUCCGCGUGAGUGAAGAAGGCCUUCGGGUUGUAAAGCUCUUUCGCAAGGGAAGAAAACUUAUCCUCUAACAUAGGGUGAGGUUGACGGUACCUUGAUAAGAAGCACCGGCUAACUACGUGCCAGCAGCCGCGGUAAUACGUAGGGUGCGAGCGUUAAUCGGAAUUACUGGGCGUAAAGCGUGCGCAGGCUGUUUUGUAAGUCAGAUGUGAAAUCCCCGAGCUCAACUUGGGAACUGCGUUUGAAACUACAAGACUAGAGUAUGUCAGAGGGGGGUAGAAUUCCAUGUGUAGCAGUGAAAUGCGUAGAGAUGUGGAGGAAUACCAAUGGCGAAGGCAGCCCCCUGGGAUAAUAUUGACGCUCAUGCACGAAAGCGUGGGGAGCAAACAGGAUUAGAUACCCCAGUAGUC
rnacentral:rRNA from 1 species